UACGGAGGAUGCAAGCGUUAUCCGGAAUGAUUGGGCGUAAAGCGUCCGCAGGUGGCUGUGUAAGUCUGCUGUUAAAGAGUGAGGCUCAACCUCAUAAAGGCAGUGGAAACUACAUGGCUAGAGUGCGUUCGGGGCAGAGGGAAUUCCUGGUGUAGCGGUGAAAUGCGUAGAGAUCAGGAAGAACACCGGUGGCGAAAGCGCUCUGCUGGACCUUAACUGACACUGAGGGACGAAAGCUAGGGGAGCGAAUGGG
rnacentral:rRNA from 1 species